AGUGAACGCUGGCGGUAGGCCUAACACAUGCAAGUCGAACGGCAGCACAGUGAGAGCUUGCUCUUACGGGUGGCGAGUGGCGGACGGGUGAGGAAUACAUCGGAAUCUACUUUUUCGUGGGGGAUAACGUAGGGAAACUUACGCUAAUACCGCAUACGACCUACGGGUGAAAGCAGGGGAUCUUCGGACCUUGCGCGAUUGAAUGAGCCGAUGUCGGAUUAGCUAGUUGGCGGGGUAAAGGCCCACCAAGGCGACGAUCCGUAGCUGGUCUGAGAGGAUGAUCAGCCACACUGGAACUGAGACACGGUCCAGACUCCUACGGGAGGCAGCAGUGGGGAAUAUUGGACAAUGGGCGCAAGCCUGAUCCAGCCAUAUCGCGUGGGUGAAGAAGGCCUUCGGGUUGUAAAGCCCUUUUGUUGGGAAAGAAAAGCAGCAGGUUAAUACCCCGCUGUUCUGACGGUACCCAAAGAAUAAGCACCGGCUAACUUCGUG
rnacentral:rRNA from 1 species